UAAGCACCGGCUAACUCUGUGCCAGCAGCCGCGGUAAUACAGAGGGUGCGAGCGUUAAUCGGAUUUACUGGGCGUAAAGCGUGCGUAGGCGGCUUUUUAAGUCGGAUGUGAAAUCCCUGAGCUUAACUUAGGAAUUGCAUUCGAUACUGGGAAGCUAGAGUAUGGGAGAGGAUGGUAGAAUUCCAGGUGUAGCGGUGAAAUGCGUAGAGAUCUGGAGGAAUACCGAUGGCGAAGGCAGCCAUCUGGCCUAAUACUGACGCUGAGGUACGAAAGCAUGGGGAGCAAACAGGAUUAGAUACCCUGGUAGUCCAUGCCGUAAACGAUGUCUACUAGCCGUUGGGGCCUUUGAGGCUUUAGUGGCGCAGCUAACGCGAUAAGUAGACCGCCUGGGGAGUACGGUCGCAAGACUAAAACUCAAAUGAAUUGACGGGGGCCCGCACAAGCGGUGGAGCAUGUGGUUUAAUUCGAUGCAACGCGAAGAACCUUACCUGGUCUUGACAUAGUAAGAACUUUCCAGAGAUGGAUUGGUGCCUUCGGGAACUUACAUACAGGUGCUGCAUGGCUGUCGUCAGCUCGUGUCGUGAGAUGUUGGGUUAAGUCCCGCAACGAGCGCAACCCUUUUCCUUAUUUGCCAGCGGGUUAAGCCGGGAACUUUAAGGAUACUGCCAGUGACAAACUGGAGGAAGGCGGGGACGACGUCAAGUCAUCAUGGCCCUUACGACCAGGGCUACACACGUGCUACAAUGGUCGGUACAAAGGGUUGCUACCUAGCGAUAGGAUGCUAAUCUCAAAAAGCCGAUCGUAGUCCGGAUUGGAGUCUGCAACUCGACUCCAUGAAGUCGGAAUCGCCAGUAAUCGCGGAUCAGAAUGCCGCGGUGAAACGUUCCCGGGCCUUGUACACACCGCCCGUCACACCAUGG
rnacentral:rRNA from 2 species